UACAGAGGGUGCGAGCGUUGUUCGGAAUCACUGGGCGUAAAGCGCACGUAGGCGGAUCUUUAAGUCAGAGGUGAAAUCCCAAGGCUCAACCUUGGAACUGCCUUUGAUACUGGGGAUCUUGAGUCCGGGAGAGGUGAGUGGAACUGCGAGUGUAGAGGUGAAAUUCGUAGAUAUUCGCAAGAACACCAGUGGCGAAGGCGGCUCACUGGCCCGUACUGACGCUGAGGUGCGAAAGCGUGGGAGCAACAGG
rnacentral:rRNA from 1 species